UAGGGAAUCUUCCACAAUGGACGCAAGUCUGAUGGAGCAACGCCGCGUGAGUGAAGAAGGGUUUCGGCUCGUAAAGCUCUGUUGUUAAAGAAGAAUGUGGGUAAGAGUAACUGUUUACCCAGUGACGGUAUUUAACCAGAAAGCCACGGCUAACUACGUACCG
rnacentral:rRNA from 1 species